rnacentral:tRNA from 1 species
GGCCGAGUGCCCGAGCGGUCUAAGGGGACGGAUUGCAAAUCCGUUGCGCAAGCUUCGUGGGUUCGAAUCCCACCUCGGCCU